AGCGCUGGCGGACAUGCGGACGGGCCGUCGUCACUCGGCUUCUCCGUCCACCCUCCCGUGUGGCCCAGGUCCGGCCCGGGCUGUGGUCACUUCGCACACACACACUGCUUCGUGAGUCUUUGAGCGGCACAGUGACCGAGACAAAAAGACAUGGACGGCGGGGGCUGGGGCGCACAUCCGCGGGUUCGCUCCCCCACAUGAUGGCAGCGCCUGGGCCCGGGCCGGCGCCGACGUUGAGAGCCUGGGAAGAAAUCCGGUUUUCCCUCCUGGUGGCAGGAACAGCAGUUGCUGGGGCGUUACCACUACCCCCCACGCCUGCCCUGGCUAGAAGCUAGACUCGGACGCCAGAGCCGUGUCGGGGACCCCUGAGCGCUGGGAUGGAACGCAGAUGAAAGAUCUCUAUUUAUCUGUCUCUCCAUCCCUCUCGGGUUGCUGUGCCUUUAAAAUAAAUAGAAUUUUUUUAAUUGAGGCACCAAGAGGAAAAGCUCAUUACAGUUUGAAUUAUGUUCCCUGAAAAGGCAGAGUGGACAGUGAGAGAGAGAGAGACAGAGAGAAAAGUCUUCCUUUUGCCGUUGGUUCACCCUCCAAUGACCGCCGCGGCCGGGCACCACGCUGAUCCGAAGCCAGGAGCCAGGUGCUUCUCCUGGUCUCCCAUGCGGGUGCAGGGCCCAAGGACUUGGGCCAUCCUCCACUGCCUUCCCGGGCCACAGCAGAGAGCUGAACUGGAAAAGGAGCAACCAGGACAGAAUCUGGCACCCCGACCGGGACUAGAACCUGGUGUGCUGGCGCAGCUAGGCGGAGGAUUAGCGUGUUGAACCACGGCAUCAGCUUAAUAUGUUUUCAUACACAGCCAAUCUAUGGAUACCGGAGCCUGAAACAAGUUUUUUGACUGGAAACUUUCUAUUGGAAAUGACUUUAGAAUUCACCGUGUCCAAACCUUACAUUCCAAGAGGACCAUGCCUGAAUACUCGUCCUUGGCAGCAUUCCCAGCAGUUCUCAGACUGGGCACCAUCAGUCCAACAACCAACAUCUCCUCUUCCCUCACUUUGUAACUUUUUCAUUUCUUCAAUGUAGGGCAGUUUAUUUUUCAACUUGUCACUCUACACUUCCUAAAAUCCAAUCUCACAAAAAUAAUUAUCUUUUCUAUUAAAAUCACUGGGCUUGUUCUUAGAUCUCUCUCCCUCUCUCUGUCUCUAACACACCAUGAGGCAAGUUUAAUAGCAAAUAAUAAUUGAACAAGAGUAAUGUCUUAUAAUAUCACCAUAUCUUGAACAAGAGUAACAUCUUGUAAUGUCACCAUAAAACAGUCUGGCAUAGACUCACAAAAAAAUUGUUGGAUAAAUAAAAAUAUAGAAAGAACCUACAAACUGUAAUAGGUGAUAGAUAAUAAAUUUAGGGGUUAUGGAAUGUGUAACUGUACAAGGGAAAAACAAAUGAACAUUCUGAAAAAAAGCUAUAAAGAGCUGUAUUUUCUUCCAAAAAAAGAAAACUUUAGCUACUUAAAAAAUGUGCAGUGUUUGGAAAGAGGUAGUUUAAUCUCAGCUUCUGCAGGUAAUAAACAGUAGUAAAUAUCCAAACGUCCAGUGCUUUCUAAUACUGCGAUAAAUGUGAGCAUCCGGGGCUCUUGUGAAUUUUUGUAAUCAUCACUUUCAUAUUAACAAAAUCCAUGACCAAGCAAGAUGAUGUUUUUCCUUCUUUGUUAUGUCUUUCCUGUUGGAUGCCUGAUGUUCCUUAUUCUUUAUAAUUCUAAAUGCUUUUGCUAUUGCUUCAGUGACAACUGUUCCUGUGGUAUCAAAGAAUUCAAUUAAUUUGGAAUUAUAAGUUCUAAUAUGCAAUAAAAUGAGAAUCAAAUUACUUAUAUUUUAAGAGUAAAUCUGCCUUGAGAUUUCAAAGUCUUCAUCCACAUCCCUACUUCCUAGCCAUUUCUCCUUUCAAAUAAAGGGUUAUGUUAUCAGCUUUUGGGUCCAACAGGACUAAUAUAGAUCUAUUUCCAUAUUUCAAGCAAGCACUUCUCAAUCCCAGCACAUUCUUCAGUGACAGCAUGGUGCUUAAUUUCUAUUUUGCCCAUAUCACCAGAUCUUAUUUUAAGAUACUCAGAAUGGUGGCUGGCGCUGUGGUGCAGUGGGUUAAUGCCCUGGCCUGAAGUGCUGGCAUCCCAUAUGGGUGCCCGUUCUAGUCCCGGCUGCUCCACUUCCCAGCCAGCUCUCUGCUAUG